rnacentral:misc_RNA from 1 species
GCCGAUUUUCGUGAGACCCGUCGGAGACUUGGAGUUUUCCCAUGUCGAAUUUCCAAGCACCGCAGUCGCAACUCCGGCCGCUCUACAAGCAGCGCUCGUGGUCGCCAGACACUGGGAAGGAAGAGCUGUGGCUUCGGCGAAAGUCGAUUCACGGCAAAGGUCACCGCCUCAUCCGCAGCAAGAGUGUUAGUGUUACAGACGAAGAUCUUGAAGAGCUCAAAGCGUGUAUUGAUUUAGGAUUUGGUUUCGGACCUGACUCGCCCGAAUUGGACCCGAAGUUGUCAGAUGUUUUGCCUGGUUUGAGGUUUUAUUGCGCUGUUAAUAAGCAGUAUAGUAAUGGCUUUUCGAGAUCUUCGUCGUCAUCGUCGAUUUUCUCCGAUUCUGAUAGCGAUGCAAGUAGUGGUUCCUCCAUAUUUGAUCUAGGUGAUGAUCCUGAGACGGUUAAGACGAGGCUGAAGCAGUGGGCUCGAGUGGUGGCUUUUUCAGUGCAGCAAAAUUCAGGAAAAUCCGAG